rnacentral:rRNA from 1 species
AGCGAACGCUGGCGGCAGGCCUAACACAUGCAAGUCGAACGCACCUUCGGGUGAGUGGCGGACGGGUGAGUAACACGUGGGAACGUACCUUUAGGUUCGGAACAACUCAGGGAAACUUGAGCUAAUACCGAAUGUGCCCUUCGGGGAAAGAUUUAUCGCCUUUAGAGCGGCCCGCGUUAGAUUAGCUAGUUGGUGGGGUAAUGGCCCACCAAGGCUACGAUCUAUAGCUGGUCUGAGAGGAUGAUCAGCCACACUGGGACUGAGACACGGCCCAGACUCCUACGGGAGGCAGCAGUGGGGAAUCUUGCGCAAUGGGCGAAAGCCUGACGCAGCCAUGCCGCGUGAAUGAUGAAGGUCUUAGGAUUGUAAAAUUCUUUCAGCAGGG